GCGGCGACCGUGGAGACGCUGAUUUUGGUAGAGGUGAGCAGGGGCUCCCUGCACCGCACAGCAGCUCCCUGGGGCAUGCAAAGGCAGCAAAUGCCUGGUGCCAGGGAGAGCACGGCACGGCAGACUGUCCCUGCGGUCACGUGCAGACCCCUUGUGCCGCACRGGGGCUGCUCGGGAUCAAGGGAGCAGCCUGCAACUGUGCAGGGGGCUGGGGGCUGCAGGGCCGCUUCGGGGGCGCUGGCUGCAGCAGCAGCCUUUGCCACAGCCCCCGUGGCACAGAGGCACAGCGUCAGGCCUGCACCUCCAGCCUCUCCUCCRCAGCCCUUGGACCACCCCCGCUUUUCCUGGCAGCCUCUCCCACAUGCCUGCAUUGCUGCAGCAACAUCGCUGGAGCAGCUCCCUCGAGGCCCCCACUGAGGAGGGGCGGCUCUGUAACCAUCAGCCCUUUCUCACAGGCUGACGCCAAGAAAGGCCCCCGCUUGGACCCUUCCGACGGCGAAGAGGCACUUGGCCACUCGGCUGCAGAGGGAGCGAAGGCAAGGCGGCAGGUGAUCUCCUGGCCACUUGCUCGGCGAGGAACCUCUGCCAGCAGGGCCUGCCCUGUCCCAGGGCAGCUCGCCUCUGGCCCCAGGGCGGCUCUCUUUGGCCRGCCUCUGGCAGCUCUCUGCGGGCAAGACGGGGGCCUGCCCCAGCCAGUCCAGGUAAGCAAGCCUGCCCACAGAGGCACGCUGCUUCGGGCCUCUCGCGCGACACAGCCUGCCCAGCACUUGUGCUGGGGCUCUCAAGAGAGAGGCGCUUUGGGGCUUCCCCCUCCACACGCGCUGCUGACACGCAAGGCCUGCAGGCCAGGUCCCAGCCCCGGGGGGAACGGGGGCCAGCUCUGCGGCUUUGCUCCAGCCCACACCACUGGCACGGGUGCCUAGGAAAUACCAGGUUAUUGCCAGUGUGAUCGACGUGGAGCNCAGCUCUCUGCGGGCAAGACGGGGGCCUGCCCCAGCCAGUCCAGGUAAGCAAGCCUGCCCACAGAGGCACGCUGCUUCGGGCCUCUCGCGCGACACAGCCUGCCCAGCACUUGUGCUGGGGCUCUCAAGAGAGAGGCGCUUUGGGGCUUCCCCCUCCACACGCGCUGCUGACACGCAAGGCCUGCAGGCCAGGUCCCAGGCCAGGGGGGAACGCGGGCCAGCUCUGCGGCUUUGCUCCAGCCCACACCACUGGCACGGGUGCCUAGGAAAUACCAGGUUAUUGCCAGUGUGAUCGACGUGGAGCAAGGAGAUACUAAGGCAAGCAAAGCAGAGUGUGCCCCCAAGUCCAAACCUGUCCAUUGCUUCCUGCAGGAGCUCCUGGCUAUACUGUAUGAGAAAGGGCCUGCCACCGAGGGCAUCUUCAGGWAGGCGGCGAGCGAGAAGGCCUGCAAGGAGCUGAAGGCGGUCCUAAACCAGGGCAAGAGCGCUGACCUGGACAGCAGACCCAUGCACCUCCUGGCAGUGGUGCUGAAGGHGAAUUCCUUGCACCAGCAGAGCACACGGCUCUCCGAGCAUGUGCCUCAUGUGUAUGGGCCCCUGGCAGUGCCUCUACUCCCCUCGGUGGCACUCCAAGCUAAAAGCCUACUGAAGCCAGACUCCGGGCUUCAGGCUCAGGACACUGUGGCACUUUUCUUCCCCCUCAGAUUGUCAGCUGCCCUAGUUCUGCCCCUGAUUCCCUGCAUGACCAUGGGAAACUCCCUUCCUCCACCUCCUCUUCAGCAUCCUCCUCUCCUCAGGGAGGACCAYGGAGACUCAGGGCUGCACCAAAGGCUCAGCUAGGAGCUGGGUCCUGCUCCUGCACUAACACCAGUGCGUUUGGCAUGCACUCGCACAGCCCCCCGCACUCUCAGUGCUCAGGAGCACCUUUGGGAGCAGGCAGCUCAAAGCAACCUGCCUGCUU
rnacentral:lncRNA from 1 species